GACGAACGCUGGCGGCGUGCUUAACACAUGCAAGUCGAGCGGAGCGGCGAACGGGUGAGUAACGCGUGAGUAACUGCCCCCCUCCCUGGGAUAACAGUUGGAAACGGCUGCUAAUACCGGAUAGUGGGGGAUGACUCGCGUCCUAUCAGCUUGUUGGUGGGGUAGUGGCUUACCUAGGCGACGACGGGUAGCCGGCCUGAGCGGGCGACCGGCAACAUUGGGCUGCGAUACGGCCCAGAAUCCUACGGGAGGCAGCAGUGGGGGAUAUUGCACAAUGGGCGAAAGCCUGAUGCAGCGAGGCGCGUGGGGGAUGGAGGCUUUCGGGUUGUAAACCUCGUCGUGCGAAAGCAGGGUAGGUGGAGAAGAAGCGCCGGCUAACUACGUGCCAGCAGCCGCGGUAAUUC
rnacentral:rRNA from 1 species